rnacentral:rRNA from 1 species
AUUGAACGCUGGCGGCAUGCCUUACACAUGCAAGUCGAACGGCAGCACGGGGGCAACCCUGGUGGCGAGUGGCGAACGGGUGAGUAAUACAUCGGAACGUGCCCCGUAGCGGGGGACAACCAGUCGAAAGACUGGCUAAUACCGCAUACGCUCCACGGAGGAAAGCGAGGGGAUCGCAAGACCUUGCACUAGUGGGAGCGGCCGAUGCCCGAUUAGCUAGUUGGUGAGGUAAGGCUCACCAAGGCAACGAUCGGUAGCUGGUCUGAGAGGACGACCAGCCGCACUGGGACUGAGACACGGCCCAGACUCCGUACGGGAGGCAGCAGGUGGGGUAAUUUUGGACAAUGGGCGCAAGCCUGAUCCAGCCAUGCCGCGU